GGUGUAGUAGCUCAAUGGUAGAACAUUUGCCUACAUGCAACAGACCCUGGGUUUCAUCCCCAGCACUACCC
rnacentral:tRNA from 1 species